GUGCCAGCCGCCGCGGUAAUACCGGCAGCCCGAGUGGUGGCCGAUCUUAUUGGGCCUAAAGCGUCCGUAGCUGGCUGCGCAAGUCCGUCGGGAAAUCCACUCGCCCAACGGGUGGGCGCCCGGUGGAAACUGUGCAGCUUGGGACCGGAAGGCGCGACGGGUACGUCCGGGGUAGGAGUGAAAUCCCGUAAUCCUGGACGGACCGCCGAUGGCGAAAGCACGUCGCGAGAACGGAUCCGACAGUGAGGGACGAAAGCCAGGGUCUCGAACCGGAUUAGAUACCCUGGUAGUCC
rnacentral:rRNA from 1 species